rnacentral:rRNA from 1 species
GGAUUCCUACGGGAGGCAGCAGUGAGGAAUAUUGGUCAAUGGGCGCGAGCCUGAACCAGCCCAGUAGCGUGAAGGAUGACUGCCCUACGGGUUGUAAACUUCUUUUAUAAAGGAAUAAAGUGAGGCACGUGUGCCUUUUUGUAUGUACUUUAUGAAUAAGGAUCGGCUAACUCCGUGCCAGCAGCCGCGGUACUACGGAGGAUCCGAGCGUUAUCCGGAUUUAUUGGGUUUAAAGGGAGCGUAGAUGGGUUGUUAAGUCAGUUGUGAAAGUUUGCGGCUCAACCGGAAUAUUGCAAUUGAUACUG